rnacentral:tRNA from 1 species
GGAGAGCUGCCCGAGCGGGAAGGGGCUGGCGUGCUAAGCCAAGGUCGGCGACCGGAUCGCCGCGGGCGUUCGAUCCGCCCGCUCUCCGCCA